rnacentral:rRNA from 1 species
UACGAAGGGUGCAAGCGUUACUCGGAAUUACUGGGCGUAAAGCGUGCGUAGGUGGUUUGUUAAGUCUGCUGUGAAAGCCCCGGGCUCAACCUGGGAAUGGCAGUGGAUACUGGCAAGCUAGAGUGCGGUAGAGGGUAGUGGAAUUCCCGGUGUAGCGGUGAAAUGCGUAGAGAUCGGGAGGAACACCAGUGGCGAAGGCGGCCAUCUGGGACAACACUGACGCUGAGGCACGAAAGCGUGGGGAGCAAACAGG